AGGCGCAAAAGUUUGCCAAUGUGUGCCUGGUUGCGUUUAGCCCAGACGCCUUGCGGCCGCUUUGCCUGACCAACGUCUGUGGGCGUGGAACAGGCCCUGGGUUCUCCUACUGGGAAGAAUGAAGUUCAGGUUCUCCAUGCGAUAUAUGGUUCCACAAUCCUCAGCGUGUUAACUGAAGCCUUGUUGAGUUUAACAAAGCUGCCAUUGAAGAUCUGGGGAAAGUGAAGAAGUUGCAACAGAGUUUUGGGCUCACACCAUUGAUACAUUUGAUCCUUAAGGCAAGCCCACCCCGCCUCACUCCCACCCUCUUCUACUUAAUUCAGGAUGUGAAUAGCACAUGCCUUCCAUCUUCAGACAAACACUGAGGCCUGGACAAUGACCUGCAUUAGGUAGAUAGAAUCUACUGAAAGCUAAAAGCCUUUUCCUGUGUCUUAGCAGCACGGAAGCCACGCCUCCUUCCCCCCAGUGUUUGUGCAAGCCCUAGAGAAGAGGAGACAGCCCCUGUGAUGUGUGAGGUUGAAUUUCCUGCCCUCAACCCAUCAAAUCAGGCAGAAUGAGGGCUCAGUCAGAACUACAACUACAAAAGAGAAAAAUUUUAAUGUGACUUUUCUUGUCUGCUCAGAUUUUUGGGUUAAGGUUCAUGCCAGCUACAUUCUUUGCAUAAUAAAAUAUAAAUAGAGUAUAAAUUGUUCUAUUUAGAGAAAACAGCAAAACAAUGCUCUCCCAAGGGCCCUAAUAAAUCACUCUCCAGAAACGUGGAUGUGUGUUGGAUUUACAGGAUUUCUAUGCCAAGCAGAGAAGUACAUGAAAACAGGAAAGCAAAAUGCAUAAGUUGCAAUAAUAGUUUUGUGGUUUAGCUGAAUAAUGUCCUAUAUCAACAGAGGAUAAUGAUUUUAGUUUUUCAGUUGCCCCAAGAUCAUUUCCAUUACUGAUGAGGCUUGAAAUGUCUGUGAAGAAGAGUCAUUGCAAUUGAUUUAUUUGUCUGGCAAACUUUUUGUCAGCAAAUUCACCACUACCUCAAAAAUCUCACUAGCUACUCUAUGCUUAAGACAUUAGAAGCAUAAGCCACAAUGAAAACUAACUCUUAGCAUUAGAAUUCUAAGAAGCAGUAAUGUAUUUAUGAUUUUAUGUUAAAAAUCUCCCAGAUGUCAGCAUUUAAAUCACAAUUCAGUAAUAUAAGUAAUUUGAAAUUAGAAAAUUUUAUACUUCACCAUUCUAUUUUCCUCUUGAAAUUGAACACAGUUUGAAAGAAUUAAGAAAAGAAGCUAUAAAAAAUAAAUUGUUCAAGGAUUCUUCCUGUUUCUAAACACCACAAGAUUAUGAUGAUAGAGACAUCAUUUGAAGUGGUAGAGAGUACUGUGAAAUAUCUAUAUGUGAAUAUAAUGAAAAUGAAAAAAUAAUCUGAUGAAUUUUUAAAAUUAAUCUUGUUAGAGUCAUUUUUGAGAAAUUGUAUGCAAGUGUAUUGAUUGAAAAUGACCUUCUCAUUCAAGAAAAAUUUAUUGAGCACUUACUAAGUGUCAAUAGGUGAAUGUGAAUAAAAUAGAUAUGGUCCCUGCCUUCUUGGAGUUGAAUAAAAUAGCAAACACUUAUUGAAUAUUUAUUAUAUGUUGUGCAUUAUAAUAUUAACCAAUGUUUAUUGAGUUGUUAUUAUAUGCCAACUACGCCAAUCCUGUCCUAAGCAAUUUAUGUAUGUUAACUAAUUUAAUCCUCACAAUAAAUCUAUGAGGUAGGUA
rnacentral:lncRNA from 1 species